AGCUUUAAGUAAAUAUUUAAAGUUUUACCUGCCCGGUGAAAUUUCAACGGCCGCAGUACUUUGACUGUGCUAAGGUAGCAUAAUAAAUUGGCUUUUAAUUAAAGUCUAGUAUGAAAGGGAGUUUGGAAAGGAACUGUCUCUAAAAAGAUAUUUAAAAUUUACUUAAUGGGUGAAAAUUCCCAUAGAUUUUACAUUAGACGAGAAGACCCUAAGAAUUAUUACAAUAAAUAAUGAAAUUGUUAACGUUUUUGUUGGGGCAACAAUGUUGGAUUUUAAACCAAUAAUACAAUUUUAUUCAUAUCAAAAUUUUUAAGAAAGAAAUAAAUUACCUUAGGGAUAACAGCAUAAUUAAAUUUUUAGAUUGUGACCUCGAUGUUGGAUUAAGGACUUUAAUUAUUAGCCAUUAUUAAAGAUAGUUCUGUUCGAACUUUAUACCUU
rnacentral:rRNA from 1 species